CACUCGUGCCGUUGCUGCUGCCAUUAUUCGAUGAGCACAACGGCUGUGCAGACAGCCCCGGAUCUCAAGCAGCUCGCAUCAAGUAGUUCGCAAACCACCAAGAGCUGCCUGCUAGUUUCUAGAAGGAAAACUGGUGUGCAGGUUCACCUCGGUGCAACCAUCCGCAUCUCAGUGGCAUCGCAGACCACGUUCCGUUAAGCUGUCCGGCGUAGAACCUGAGGUGCUGAAUUGUGCCCCAUUUCUCCUCCGCUGCUGUCGAGUUGCGGCCUCGUCUGUCCCCAUUCCAAGCAGAUGGAGCUGGAUGAAGAAGAGAUGCCAGCAGCUGAAUGUGACGGGAUCCAGUGCGAAUCCUCUGACAUAAGAUUUCAGUUAAGCCAACAACAUCUAGCACCGCCAUCAUUCAAGUUGGUCCUUGGGAGAAAGCCAAAGGUCCGGGCGCUGAAGUGAAAUGCAGUUGAUUCGCACAACCCCGAAUGCAGAGGAUUGGAAUUCAUUUGCAUUGAGUGGCCACAGCAAGCAAGGUCUUGGCAUCAGAACCCUCGUUGCCCCGUACGUCGUCGCGCCGUGGCUGGAGGUGGAGUGGCCAUUCUUUUCACCGUCUCGGGCCUGGUGUUCAUCAUCUGAACAUGAUGUGCGGUGUCCACAGUGUCCUACAUCUGCUUUCUUGAACAUGCAUGUUGUCUGCUUUGGACAUGCCUGCUGUGUGACAAAAUAAGACUGUUGUUAAGAAGUCACUGGACACUUUUGCGUUACAAAAUGACUGAAACAAAAGCUACGAGUAAUGGCUCACAGACGACACAUUUUAUAUGUUGCACCACCUGAUGUAUAGUAGAACCUCAUUAAUUCGAAGGCCUUCAGACC
rnacentral:lncRNA from 1 species